AUUGAACGCUGGCGGCAUGCCUUACACAUGCAAGUCGAACGGCAGCGCGGGGCAACCUGGCGGCGAGUGGCGAACGGGUGAGUAAUAUAUCGGAACAUACCCUAGAGUGGGGGAUAACGUAGCGAAAGUUACGCUAAUACCGCAUACGCACUAAGGUGGAAAGUGGGGGAUUCGCAAGAACCUCAUGCUCAUGGAGUGGCCGAUAUCUGAUUAGCUAGUUGGUGAGGUAAAGGCUCACCAAGGCAACGAUCAGUAGCUGGUUUGAGAGAACGACCAGCCACACUGGAACUGAGACACGGUCCAGACUCCUACGGAGGCAGCAGUGGGAAUUUUGGACAAUGGGGGCAACCCUGAUCCAGCAAUGCCGCGUGAGUGAAGAAGGCC
rnacentral:rRNA from 1 species